rnacentral:misc_RNA from 1 species
GAUGAAGAACGUAGCGAAAUGCGAUAAGUAGUGUGAAUUGCAGAAUUCAGUGAAUCAUCGAAUCUUUGAACGCACAUUGCGCCCCUUGGUAUUCCAUGGGGCAUGCCUGUUCGAGCGUCAUUUGUACCUUCAAGCUCUGCUUGGUGUUGGGUGUUUUGUCUCGCCUCUGCGUGUAGACUCGCCUUAAAACAAUUGGCAGCCGGCGUAUUGAUUUCGGAGCGCAGUACAUCUCGCGCUUUGCACUCAUAACGGCGACGUCCAAAAGUACAUUUUUACACUCUUGACCUCGGAUCAGGUAGGGAUACCCGCUGAACUUAAGCAUAUCAUAAGCGGAGGA